rnacentral:rRNA from 1 species
UACGGAGGGUGCAAGCGUUAUCCGGAUUCACUGGGUUUAAAGGGCGCGUAGGUGGCUUUGUAAGUCAGUGGUGAAAUAUUGCGGCUCAACCGCAAAACUGCCAUUGAUACUGCUUAGCUUGAAUCACGUCGAGGUGGAUGGAAUAAUACAUGUAGCGGUGAAAUGCAUAGAUAUGUAUUAGAACACCGAUUGCGAAGGCAGUUCACUAGGCGUGUAUUGACACUGAGGCUCGAAAGCGUGGGGAUCAAACAGG